AGCCAGGCAGGAGAACCUACUAACCUCUUUAGUUGUUCAACUGCGAAUAUCAAAAUGAGUUAUAUACGUUUCUAGAAAAAUGCUUGCAACGAUUAGCGAACAUUAGCGAGCUGCUAGCAGCAUGAAUCAUGGCACAGGCCGGCUGCAGCUUUAUCUUUCCUGGCUGUGUAUAGCAUAGAUCCCAGGAGGUGCCUGACCCUGUCCCCAUCUCUCCGCUGCCAGCCUGCCAGAACACGCUGCACUAUCUCACACACUGCAUUUAUCCAGUGUACCGAUAAUAGGUUUACACCUGUUCCGUUGUUGCCUCCACUCAGGUCAGGACAGGGAAAAAUCACACUGGAAUACAUGCUGGGACGCUGAAUAUCCUCCUUACAUACAUGGAGUGGGCUACAGUCGCAACACGAGCAGCGUGUCGCCUCGCGGUUACGUGCCCAGCAGCACCCCGCAGCAGUCCAACUACAACACCGUCAGCAACACCAUGAACGGCUAUGGCAAUGCAGGGAAUGCCCAACCUGGGCGUGCCCAGCUCCACCGGGCUUCUUGAACGGCUCCUCAGCAAACUCUCCCUACGGCACUAUGUCCGGACUGGUGGUCCCACCCAUGUAAAUUGCACCCCCUUUCCCUUGUAAAGCAGCCGUCUCCUCAUCGGGACGAAGCGUAGUACGUUAUGUGGAGGAUCCUCCUCGAAGUCGUCAAUUGUCAUGAAGUUAAUCAGCAACUAAUUCUGUUAUUUCACAGGAAAAAGACACUUUGUUUCAAAGAGUUUAUUCGAAAUUGACAUGCAAGCGACUUCGUCAUGAACAAUUUCAUUUUAUUGACUGAAUCUCUUAUCAUAUUUUCACGAUCUCGAAAUGGGAAAAAAAAGAACAAAACGUACCUAUUUUGUAUAAACAUUUCUGGUUUAAUCUUGGCUAUGUCUAGUUCUUGCUAUGUGUGGGAAGAAACAUUGUGGAUAUGCCAUUUGAUGAAAACACUGAUAAAAAAAAAAAUGUGUAAGAAUGUUUCUCUUUCACCGAUGUGCUGCCGCUGCACAUCUUCAUAAUGUGAAUUCAUUUUCCUUUUUUAUUAAUAUUAUUUUUUGUUUCUUCGUUUUGCUUUUUUUUUUUUUUUUUGAUUGUGGUAAUAAAAAGGGGGCCAAUAUAUACAGAGCCAAUAAACUGGAAAUAAUAUAAGAUAUAUGAUUUAUAAAUCAAAAAGAAAGGCAAGGAAGAAGGAACGAUGGGAGGAACCGUGAAAUGGUGAUCUUAUAUUGGUCAGUUCGUUCGGCGGAAAUGAACUUUGUAACUUAUUGUAGGUAGAAGUUGUAACUUUGAUAUUGCAAAAAUUAUUCUCUUGCCUUCAACAAGCACACUAACAGAGACGAAGCGCUACUGUCUGUUGGUUAAAAAAGAAAAAGAAAAAAAGAAAAAAAAAAGAAAGAAAAUAUUUCCACUGCUAAAGCUUCCUGUAAAGCAAGUGUGAUCUGCGAUGUUUUUCAACUUUUUUGCUAGCACUGUAUACUAUUGCAUUCUUAGGCUACUGUGAAGUCUGUUUCUUGUACCAGAAAGUUGUCCUUAUACCCUCUAGCUCCUUACUCCCUAAUGUGUUUUGUAUGUGGUUAUACAAUUGUAGACUUUUGUGAUUUUGCCAAAGUUGUAGCUAAAUAUUUAUACACUUGUCUUGAAUUUUCCAGAAUCACUUAAAUAUUUAGUACAGAGUUUUAUUCCUACAGUUAGGAGUAAAAUUGUCUUAUACAUUGCAACACUUUCACACAAACACUUGCGGUCACUAAGGGAAUUUUUUGUAACAUACCAAUUAUAAAUAUUGUAUUUAUCUUUGAAAUUUUGUAUAUUGCUUUCCAUCAUUUUCUUUGAUCUCACCUGUAUUGUUUUCCAUGGUCGAAAUUACAAUGAAGGUUUAGCCAAGAAUCAUCGCCUCCAUUCGAUGUUUUGUACCGAUAGAUCUGUGCAUUUCAUUUGUAAUUCAGAAUUUUUUUAUGCCAUCAGACCUUCCGUCCAUUUUGUUUGUUUGUUUGUUUGUUUAUUUGCUAUUUCGAGGAGCAGUCAAAACCAUUGUUUAUUUUUAUAUUAAUUUUUAAGUUAUCUAAAAAAAGUACUUUUUUGAAAGAAAACUGUUUGUUGUAUAGUCAAAUAAAUUGUUUGUGUCACCUGGCUGUAAUAAUAUUAGUAGAUAAAGUGCAUGUCAAGCGCCCCAGGGGGGAAAAUCCAAUUGUGGUUGUAAAUUUUGUUUUUGUAGAAUGUAAAAAGUCAUUUUUACCUGCCACCAUGACUUUGCCACAUAACUGAACCAUGUUUACAGGGAUCAAGAAGGAAAAAAAGGAAAGAAAAAAUUAUCUGCAAUGGAAAUAUACAUCAGUUACUAAUGUUUAUUAAAAUAUGUCAGAAAAAAGCUCUGUCAAAGGCUUUCCAGUGAAUCUCCUGAGAGGAACCUUUCUGCUGUUUUAAUGACAAACGUACACCACAGUGAAUCUCAUUAUUCCAUUCAGAUCAAUGGUGUAAAAAGCACAAACAUUUUUUACUAAAAUAAAAAAUAAUUAUUGUGACCCCUCAUCUUUUUGGACUAUUUUGUCAGCUUGUCUUUUUUAACAUUAAUUUUUACCCUAUUCCCUCAAGUAAAACAGCAUUCAAAGGGAAUGAAAACAAAUGAAAAGUUAGUUUUUGUAUCAUAUAUGGUCAACAAAGAUGAAGAUGUUCUAUAUUGUAAAUGUCAUUUUGUAAGUAACUCAUGACACCGUAGCAUAACCGAAAUCAUAUCACUUUCUUACACUUUUUUUUUCUCUCAAUGACAUUGAUUUUCCGAGUUGUGCCAAAAUCCGCAAAUGAACCCUAUCCAAGGCUUUCAUUUUGAGCUCUUUUUCUUUGCACUUCAGGGCUUUUGUAAAUGCUGUAAUGUUCAGCAGUGUGCUACACUUUCUGUUUCAAACCAAAAGCGGAUGUUUCCUCUUGGCAAUCGGCACAAGUUUCCUUUAGCUGCAGGAAGCAAAGGCAGCUGUAGAAGCAAAGAAAUGAUGAAUGUACAAUGUAUUUGCUUUGUGAUGGCUCAACAAAGCUCAGCCAAGUGGAGGAGCCGGUGAGGUCACCCUGAAAGUAAGAAAAACUCAAGGUUAUGUGAAGUGCAUUUGUGGAUUUCAUCAUUUCUGCAAACUGGUUUUGUCUUUUAGUCUAAUUAAGUACCCAUACUCUGAAGAACUGACUAAACACGAGCUCUGUAAGAACAAAUGCCUUUUUUUCUGGCUCAUGUAUGGUUUUAUCCGAGUUGUUUUAUGGCCACAUUUCUACAUUUUAUUGUACAAAGUUGUUUCAUUUUACAUAAUAUUUAAUUAAAGUAUUUCUUGUCUGUGACCAGUUUCUCCCUGCAAUCUUAUUUUUGUCUUUUCUCGCUCUAAAAGCAACCAUGCAUUCAAAAU
ensembl:lncRNA